rnacentral:lncRNA from 1 species
AUUGGGAAAACUUCAAAUACCACCCCUGUGGUUUCGCAUUUUUUCACUUUAGUACCCUGUGGUUUAAAGUGUAUCAAUUUAGUACCCUGUGGUUUCGCACUUUCUCACUUUAAUACCGUGUAGUUUAAAGUGCAUCAAUUUAGUACCCUGUGGUUUCAUUUUUCUUUUUUUGUUGGCUCCUCAAUUAAUAUUUCGUUAAAUUAUAUACAAAAAAAUUCAAAUACCCUACCUAGGUUUAUCAAAUAUUUACUUUAGUACCCUUUAGUUUAAAUUUUGUCACUGAUUUUUUUUUCCUCUGUUAAUAUUUCGUUAAAUUAUAUACAAAAAAAACUUCAGAUAUCUUACCUAGGUUUAUCGAAUAUUCAUUUUAGUACCCUUUAAUUUUAACUUUGUCACAAACUUAACGAAAAAAACUUGUGAAAUGGAUAAUAAAAAGAGAAAAAUAAACCACAGGGUACUAACUUGAUACACUUUAAACCACAGGGUACUAAGGUGAGAAAGUACAAAAUCACAGGGGCUAACUUGAAUCACUUUAAGCCAUACGAUACUAAAGUGAGAAAGUGUGAAACCACAGGGAGGUAUUUGAAGUUUACCUUUUAGGAUUUAUAGUGAAGGUUGUUAGAAUAGCAAUAAUCGAAUAGAUAGUAUAAGAAUCGUGCUUACUAUCAACUUUUUGACCAUUUGAUAUGUAGGAUUUAAUGGAGAUUGGU